ensembl:lncRNA
AACAAAUUCAAUUUAAAUUCAACCCCCCCAGUAGUCCACACUUUGGAGGAGCUUGGGAACGAGAAAUAAGAUCCAUCAAGUCUGCACUAUAUGCCACUUUGCAAAGUCAAAGCAUGACCGAGGAGGUAUUAAGGACAGUGCUGAUAGAAGUGGAAGGAAUCUUAAACUCCAAACCUCUGGGUUAUGCAUCAACUGAUGUUGCAGACCCCAAUCCCAUCACACCCAAUCUUCUCCUCAUGGGGCGGCUCGAUCCAUCGCUCCCCCAGGCUGUCUACCAUGAAUCAGAACUUUUAAGUCGUCGCAGAUGGAGGCACACACAAGUCCUUGCAGAUCAGUUUUGGAGACAAUUCAUCAAGUAUUACCUUCCUAACCUACAGACCCGUUCCAAGUGGCAGAAAGACACUGAUUACUUACAGCCUGGCAUGAUCGUGAUGAUCCUAGACCCUCAACUACCCAGAGCUGUCUGGCCAGUAGGACAGAUCACCAAUGUCUUUCCUGGAGCUGAUGGACGGAUUAGGACAGCAGAGAACCACACAUACUCACAUAUCUACAGUGGAGAAUAAAAAUUGAAGAAGAAACAUCAGAGUCCUUGCAUUCUAACCGGAUGUGCCAUAGUGAUUGCAAACCUUUACUAACCAGCCCCAAAUGAAUACUUCACAACAACUGGACUUCAAGCUACUUGGGCUACGAGCUUCUCCACCCUUCCUCCAGACUCUAGGACCUUGGUUUCCAAAUGAAAUACAAAACUUGCUCUCGUCUGAAAAGAGGACUUUGGACCACUUGGCAACAGUCCAGUUCUUCUUCUCCUUAGCCCAGGUAAGACGUCUCUGACGUUGUCUGUGGUUCAGGAGUGGCUUAACAAGAGAAAUACAACAACUGUAGCCAAAUUCCUUGACACGUCUGUGUGUGGUGGCUCUUGAUGCCUUGACCCCAGCCUCAGUCCAUUCCUUGUGAAGUUCACUCAAAUUCUUGAAUGGAUUUUGCUUGACAAUCCUCAUAAGGCUGUGGUUCUCUCGGUUGGUUGUGCAUCUUUUUCUUCCACACUUUUUCCUUCCACUCAACUUUCUGUUAACAUGCUUGGAUACAGCACUCUGUGAACAGCCAGCUUUUUUUUUGGCAAUGAAUGUUUGUGGCUUACCCUCCUUGUGAAGGGUGUCAGUGAUUGUCUUCUGGACAACUGUCAGACCAGCAGUCUUCCCCAUGAUUGUGUAGCCUAGUGAACCAAACUGAGAGACCAUUUUAAAGGCUCAGGAAACCUUUGCAGGUGUUUUGAGUUGAUCAGCUGAUUGGCAUGUCACCAUAUUCUAAUUUGUUGAGAUUGUGAAUUGGUGGGUUUUUGUUAAAUGUGAG